UACGAAGGGGGCUAGCGUUGCUCGGAAUUACUGGGCGUAAAGCGCACGUAGGCGGGUUGUUAAGUCGGGGGUGAAAUCCUGGAGCUCAACUCCAGAACUGCCUUCGAAACUGACGAUCUUGAGUUCGGGAGAGGUGAGUGGAACUGCGAGUGUAGAGGUGAAAUUCGUAGAUAUUCGCAAGAACACCAGUGGCGAAGGCGGCUCACUGGACUGGUAUUGACGCUGAGGUGCGAAAGCGUGGGGAGCAAACAGG
rnacentral:rRNA from 1 species